rnacentral:lncRNA from 1 species
UGUCAUUACAUCAAAAAUAAAAAUUAUAAGUUAAAACAUAAAUGAAAUUACAAAAUUCCUAUCUAUGCGACUUCUUUUGGACUCUUGACUUGAGUUUCAUCACCCUAUUCUUCAGGCGGGCUCCUGACUUGUAAUUUCUUCAACUUUUUGCCUGACUUUCAAUUUCUUCACCCUGUUCUCUAGGUGGGCUCCUGACUUGCUAUUUUUCAAUUUGUGGACUUUCAAUUUCUUCACCUUGUUAUUUGACUUUCAAUUUAUUCUCCCUGUGCUUCAGGCGGGUUCCAAUGUUGCUUGAAUUAUCAAAACAAGGAAGUGUGCUGCUUACAAAUGCCGCUUGAAUUACCCAAACAAGGAAGUGCGUCUCCUUACAAAUUCCGGUUGAAUUACCCAAACAAGAAAGUGCAUCUCCUUACAAAUGUCGAUUGAAUUACCCAAACAAGGAAGUGCGUCUCCUUACAAAUGCUACUUGAAUUUUGAAAUAAGAAAGUACGUCUCAUUUCCAAUGCCGCUUGAAUUACCUAAAUAAGGAAGUGCGUCUCCUUACAAAUGCCCAUUGAAUUACCAAAAUAAGGAAGUACGUCUCCUUACAAAUGCCGCUUGAAUUACCAAAAUAAGAAAGUGCGUCUCCUUACCAAUGCCUGUUGAAUUACCCAAAUAAGGAAGUGCAUCUCUUUACAAAUGCCGCUUGAAUUACACAAACAAGGAAAUGUGUCUCCUUACAAAUGCCACUUGAAUUAACCAAACAAGAAAGUGCGUCUCCUUACCAAUGUUGCUUGAAAUGUCCAAACAAAGAAGUGCGUCCCCUUACAAAUACUACUUGAAUUACCAAACAAGGAAGUGCGUCUCCUAACAAAUGUUUCUUGACUUACCAAAACAAGGAAGUGCUUCUUCUUACCAAUGUAGCUUGAGUUACCCAAACAAGGAAGUGCGUCUCCUUACAAAUGCCACUUGAAUUACACAAACAAAGAAAUAUGUCUCCUUACAAAUACCACUUGAAUUAACCAAACAAGGAAGUGCGUCUCCUUACAAAUAUUGCUUGAAAUGUCCAAACAAGGAAGUGUGUCCCCUUACAAAUACCACUUGAAUUACCAAACAAGGAAGUGCAUCUCCUAACAAAUGUCUCUUGAAUUACCAAAACAAGGAAGUGCAUCUCCUUACCAACGCCGCUUGAAUUACCCAAACAAGAAAGUAUGUCUUCUUACAAAUACCGCUUGAAUUACACAAACAAAGAAAUGCGUCUCCUUACAAAUACCACUUGAAUUAACCAAAUAAGGAAGUGUGUCUCCUUACAAAUGUUGCUUGAAAUGUUCAAUAAAGAAAGUACGUCCCCUUACAAAUACCAUUUGAAUUACCAAACAAGGAAGUGCGUCUCCUAACAAAUGUCUCUUGAAUUACCAAAAAGAGGAAGUGCGUCACCUUACCAAUGCCGCUUGAAUUACCCAAACAAGGAAAUGUGUCUCCUUACAAUUGUCGCUUGAAUUACACAAACAAGGAAAUGUGUCUCCUUACAAAUGUCACUUGAAUUAACUAAACAAGAAAGUGUGUCUCCUUAUAAAUGUCGCUUGAAUUACCCAAACAAGGAAGUGCAUCUCCUUACAAAUAUUGCUUGGAUUACCCAAACAAGAAAGUGCAUCUCCUUACAAAUGUUGCUUGAAUUGCCCAAACAAGGAAGUUUGUUUCCUUACCAAUGUUGCUUGAAUUAACCAAACAAGAAAGUGCGUCUCCUUACAAAUAUUACUUGAAUUAUCCAGACAAGAAAGUGUGUCUCCUCACAAAUAUCACUUGAAUUAUCUAAACAAGGAAGCGCAUCUCCUUACAAAUGUCUCUUGAGUUAUCCAAACAAGGAAGUGUGUCUCCUAGAGAUAUUGGAUGAUGAGUUUUACCAUGGUUUUGAUUACCAAGCCUGUGCACAAUAUUGUCUCCUGCAUUUGUGGAAGUGAGACAUUGCAACUUUUCAUGUUUAGGCUUUGAAAUCCUUGAUUCGAAGGUAAUAUGUAUUCCUGUUUCAUACAAAGAAAACUUGUUAGUUUAAAAACAUGGUGGCUGAUUUGUGGCUUUGGCUUUUGUGGCAAUCGCUCUUACCCUUGUCACAUUAAUCUUGCUGUCAACCAUUAGCAUAUGUCAUUGACUCACUCCAUCAUUGAUUCGAACUUGGAUUAUCAAGAGUGACUCUGAAACAAACACAGUAUUUUUGCUUUGCCAUGCUUCUCAGAUAAACUCUUUGAGCCUUAAUAUUUCCAUAAGUUCCUAGACUUAUUUAUUGACAAAACUUUCAGCAUGCCUUAUUUCAGCUUACAAUCAUGUCUCUUUCAUGUGUUGGCCUUUUGUCUUGCUUUGUGUAAUUGAAGAAGCUGGUAGCCAGUUUUGAAAUCUUUUCUCACUUGUUUUGAUAUAGAGUUGACUCAAAGACAAGAGAAAAAUGACAAUGACUUUUAUUUGGAUAAUUGACUCGAGAAAACAAAAUAAAAAUAAAGAGAAGAAAGAAAAGACAAUGAAUGUCCCCAUUUGAAAUAAAGAAAUGAAAAAACUAUCUAGAAAUAACAAUCAACUCUAAUGAUUAUACCAUGUAUAUUGGAUCAAGCUUCCCGAUCUUUCCAUCCAAACUUUCUACCAAUUGUUCUUGAGUUAAUGGCUCUGAAACUAAGUUACUUGCUUGGACCCAUUGCAUUCUAAGAGCUCAUUCGGCUAGUGGCACAUUGAAGGAUUUUUGCCAACAAGUCUCUCAUUUUUCUCUCAACUCACCAUCGCCUUAUGAUGCCCAUGGUGCCCAUGGGUUUUCACCAAUAAAACUCUCUCAUUUUUAUCUCUCUCAACUUAUCAUUGCCUUAUGGUGCCCGUGAGGGUUUUCACCAAUAAAAUUCUCAUUUUUAUUUCUCUCCUAAUUUCUUAUGCAAAGAAAGACGAGUAGUUCCCAAAAUGUGUCAUCAUAUCCAUUGCAUGCUUAGUCUUAACAUUCUCAAAGAUUGAUCUGAAGGUCUUUCUUUGGUUGUAACUAAUUUUUUGGAGAGGGUUAGAAAGAAAGGAUGGCAUGGGGCCCAAAUAACACUUGAAGUGGGGUGACACUUACAAUUUUUGGAAUCGACUCAAACAAUGAGGAUACCUCAUGCCCCAGUUUAUUUUGACUAGGUGACUAUAAAUUGUUUAUUUGGUUGGACCGAGCCUCGGGUAGAGGAGCCUACGUAUCUCACCCCCGAGAGAAGAGAAUCAGGUCAUGCGUAGUUCUGACAGCUUGUUCUUUUACUUGAUUCUGAUUAUUUUUCCUUUUAUUGACUUUUUCUCUUUGGAACUUUUCUGACUCUAUUUUUCUGAAUAGAUUUUUACGAGACCUGCGAAGAGGAUAAUUUGUAAAAAAAAAAAAAAAACCAUACUUUUAGUUGACUUUCAUUCUAUAUAUUUCCAACAGUGAUUCGAAUCCAUAUUCUCUACUAAUUCUAGGUAGACACAAGCAACCACAUAUCGUAAUAUACAAGAUGAGUAACGAGUGAUGCGAGACGAGAUGAUUUGUAUAUUCCUAAAACUCAAUCUGUAAAUAAUAUAAAGAGAGUAGAUGAAACAAAUAUGCACCUAAAAGGGCGAUGUACAGUUGUGUGACUCCUCUAACUCAUAUGUAUUUGGUAAAAUAUAAAACAGGGGAGGAUAAACUCGUCACACUAAACAUCCAUAUAUUGAACAGUCGACAAUUUAAAACAAGGCCCCAUAUUCAGGAAUCGUAUUCGCAGAGAACAAGAAACAACACCAACAUAUACUUAAAAGCCAAAUAAGUUACAUAUUAACAUAGCCAAAAUAUAUGUAAGAGAAAAGGGAUGAAGGCCGAGUGAUGACCUUGUUUUGAGCAGCAAACUUGAGGCUUCAACGUCAAGUUUCCGGCUUGAGCUCGACUUUGGAACUCAAUCUCGGAAUCAAGAAAAUACCAAAGAUUUUUUAAAAAAUUGAAUGUGUGCUCUCCCCUCUCCGAAUUUGAAAUCUUAAUUUUCUCUCUUAUCCCCCGAAACCGUGAACCCCGUUUUGAACCUUUCUCAACGAAGUCCCUUUAUUUCGGAUUUCCCCCAAUUUUCUAAAUCUCCCUCUUCUAUUUUUGAACAUCCAAAAAACCCCCAAUCCAUUCACCCUCCAAUCAAAAACCUCCCCACCUCAAGAGUGAAAAAUGUAACUAUUUAUCGGCAAAUCCGGACUUGAAAGUCCGGAUUUGAAACCAAAAAUUUGCAGGGGCCAACGGGCAAAUCGAAGGGGAGGAAAUCAAAAUUUAAAAAUUGAAAGGGACCUCACAUACUCGAAAUUUCAAACGUUUCUCAUGCCUUAAUGGUGGAUUUCAAAAGACACCUCUAUUACUGCACCAAUUUGGGACUGUUUCUCUCUGAUUUCAGAGAUUCGUGGGUUGGACUUGGCCGAGAAGGGGAGAAUCUUGGUAGGCUAGCGGCAGGGGCGCGACAGCUAUUGCUGCUAGCCCCUCCGAUUUGGGUGAGAGAGAGGAAAUGGGAAGAGAAAGGAAAAAAGUCGUUUGAUUUUGUUUUGUUUUGGGAAGAGUUAUGCUGAUGGAACGUUGCUCCUUGGGAAAGGAAAAGCGUGUAUUUGCCUAGGGGAGAGGAAGACAGUUGUUUGUAUUGGUUCCUUGAUUAAUUUUGAUCCAUGAAUAAAUAUUCUAAAAAUAAUAGUAAAGUAUAUAUAAGCUGAUUUAAAAUUGAUUAUUUUGUUUUUAUGUUUUAGGUUUAUCAUUAAAAGUUUGUAUUAGAAGAGUCAAAGAUAGUAGAACAAAAAUAUUCUGGUCGAAAAAGAAUAGAUCAAUUUUCUUAUUUAUUUUCCUCCAAAUAAGAUGGUCUUUGUUUCAAUGACAAUACUUGUCAAAUUUGUCUUUCGGAGUUUUAAAAAAAAUGUGUUUGUACUCCCAUG